rnacentral:rRNA from 1 species
ACCGGCAUUAGAAAAUUUUGCCUUUUAGUGUUGGAGAGGCAGAGGGACAUGCGGUUGUAGCGGUGAAAUGAGAAGAUAUACGGAUGAACAGCGGCGCCAAGGGGGGUAUGGUGGUUUGACACUGACAUAGAGGCGCGAAAGCGUGGGGAGCAACAAGGAUAAGAGAGCCUGGGUAGUCCACGCUGUCACCGCUGAGAGUUGGGUGUGGGGAGGUGUAGUGGCUUUCUGCCCCGACGUUAACGCGAUAAAGCACUAUAAGCUGGGGAGUACGGGCGCAAGGUUGACACUCAAAGGAAUUAACGGAGGCCCGCACAAGCGGCGGAGCAUGUGGUUUAAUUUGUCGCAACGGGAAAAACCUUACCUGGGCUUGACAUGGAGAGAAUCUCCUCGAAACAGGAGAGUGCCUCGUAAGAGGAGUUCUCACACAGGUGCUGCAUGGCUGUCGUCAGCUCGUGCCGUGAGGUGUUGGGAUAAGUCCCGCAACGAGCGCAACCCUCAUCUCUAGUUGCCAUCAUUAAGUUGGGCACUAUAGAGAAACUGCCGCAGUUAAUGCGGAGGAGGGUGGGGAGGACGUCAAGUCCUCAUGGCCCCUAUGUCCAGGGCUACACACCUGGUACAAUGGGCGGUACAAAGGGUCGGGAACCCGCAAGGGGGAGAUAAUCCACCCAAAACCGUCGUCACUUUGGAGUGAGCUGUGCAACUCGA